rnacentral:lncRNA from 1 species
GGGAAGUUUAUUAUUUAAUGGGUACAGAGCUUCAGGGUUGCAAGGUAAAAAGAGUUCUGGAAAUGGUUGUUGAUGAUGUUUGCGCAAUAGGAAUGUGCUGAAUACAACCAAGCUCUACACAUGAAAAAUGGUGAAGAUAAUAAAUCUUGUUGUGUAUAUUUCAUCACAAUAAAAACUGGGGAAAUUGAAUAAAUUCAACAAAAGUCAUGAAGUAAAUAACUCUUCUCUUUUUUUUUCACUUUUACUGCAGAAAGAGAAGAGAUCAUGAGAAAGUCACAGGGGAUUCCUGUUUCAGAACAACAUCAGAGAGAAUACGCUCAGUCCCUUUGUCAUCAGAAGGUGCAUGGAAAUGAAAUGAUGCUUCCUUUGACUGCUGAGAUAGUCUUUGAAUUUUGCAGUUCCAAUUCUCAGAAGACAACGAUCAGAAAUAACUUUGGAGGUGUUUGAAAGUUUUGUUUUCCUACUUCCUGGUAUUGUGCCCUCAUCUUGAAUGAAUUCUUUCUUUCUUUUUUUCAUUUAUUGACCAAUAUGAAGAGGAAACUGGUAAGUCCCAUGAAUGCAUUUCCCUGUGUGCUUAAGCAUGACUUUAUCGGUUAACUGUGCCUUUCCCUUCAACUUCCAAAGAUCAUCUUUCUCAAAUCCAACACGUGCAUAUUUGCUAUUCAAUCAUCCCUCAAUACUGCUAUUUGAUUUGUCCUGUUAUUGCAGUGUAUUCACAGACAUUCCUUUUAAGUCGAGCAUUUUUUACUAAUCGUAUGCCUCUGAAGUAAUGGUUUGUCACAGUGGCCAAAGUGAAAAUUUUGUCCAAGACAUGCUCAAGUCACAUGAUUUAGACCUACUUCACAUCCAUUAACAUGUCUUUUUGCUGAACAUAAUAAAAUUGUAUUUAAGUAUAGUUAAAAGAGAAAC